rnacentral:rRNA from 1 species
UACGGAGGAUGCAAGCGUUAUCCGGAAUGAUUGGGCGUAAAGCGUCCGCAAGUGGCUGUGUAAGUCUGCUGUCAAAGAGCAAAGCUCAACUUUGUAAAGGCAGUGGAAACUACACGGCUAGAGUGCGUUCGGGGCAGAGGGAAUUCCUGGUGUAGCGGUGAAAUGCGUAGAUAUCGGGAGGAACACCGGUGGCGAAGGCGGCGACCUGGGUAGAUACUGACGCUGAGGCGCGAAAGCGUGGGGAGCAAACAGG